AUUGAACGCUGGCGGCAGGCUUAACACAUGCAAGUCGAGCGAGCGGCGGACGGGUGAGUAAUGCAUGUGCAACUGCCUGAGGGAGGGGGACAACUACUGGAAACGGUAGCUAAUACCGCAUACCACGAGCUGUGACCAGAUGGGAUUAGCUAGGGGGGGGGGUAAUGGCUCACCAAGGCGACGAUCCGUAGCUGGUCUGAGAGGAUGACCAGCCCAACUGGAACUGAGACACGGUCCAGACUCCUACGGGAGGCAGCAGUGGGGAAUUUUGGACAAUGGGGGAAAGCCUGAUGCAGCCAUGCCGCGUGUGUGAAGAAGGCCUUCGGGUUGUAAAGCACUUUCAGCAAGGAAGCGUUACUCGCAGAAGAAGCACCGGCUAACUCCGUGCCAGCAGCCGCGGUAAUUC
rnacentral:rRNA from 1 species